rnacentral:rRNA from 1 species
UGGGGAAUAUUGCACAUGGGCGGAAGCCUGAUGCAGCGACGCCGCGUGGGGGAUGAAGGCCUUCGGGUUGUAAACUCCUUUCGACAGGGACGAAGCUUUUGUGACGGUACCUGUAUAAGAAGCACCGGCUAACUACGUGCCAGCAGCCGCGGUAAUACGUAGGGUGCGAGCGUUGUCCGGAAUUACUGGGCGUAAAGAGCUCGUAGGUGGUUUGUCGCGUCGUCUGUGAAAUUCCGGGGCUUAACUCCGGGCGUGCAGGCGAUACGGGCUGACUUGAGUGCUGUAGGGGAGACUGGAAUUCCUGGUGUAGCGGUGAAAUGCGCAGAUAUCAGGAGGAACACCGAUGGCGAAGGCAGGUCUCUGGGCAGUAACUGACGCUGAGGAGCGAAAGCAUGGGUAGCGAACAGG